AUCAGCAUACAUGUACAAUGUAGUCGGCGUAUACGACUUGAUCGUGUCACAACAGCUGUUACAAUUAUUUGAAUCUUUGAACAGUCUCGAAUGAAUGGCAGAGUAUAAAUAUUCUAGUCGGUAAAAUUGUCAAGUAUGAAGUUAAUGUAACAGUCAGUGAAAAGUACUUAAAAAUAUUGAUAAUAUUUCAAAUUUCUCUCAAAGCACAUAGUGAUAAUUUAGUCGGACACAAUAGACUACUCAGAAUUUUUACAUGCCAUAACCAGAUGGCAAAGUGCCAGAGAUUUGAUCAUCAUUGGGAAAAUAUAUGGUUGCUGACACAUUCCUACAGGAAAAUGGAUCACAUAAUACUUUGGGAUAACCAGUUACUCAUGUGAAUGAAAAGGACUCUUUUCAGGCUAAUGAAAUGUGGUAAUUACCGCUUCAUUCAAAUAGACGAUCCUAUCAAUUUUUAAGCUUCAUAGCAGCUUACAAAUCUUGCAAUGUAAAAUAAUAAUCAUGACUACUAGAAAAUGUGCUUUAUUUUUCAGAUAUGAACUCUCAUUAAAUAUUUACAACCAUAUAUCAGAUAAUGUUAACUGAAUAUUUGACACAAGUGACAAAGAGUAAUUCAAAUAACCUGAACAAUAAUGAGCUGAACAAC
rnacentral:misc_RNA from 1 species